AUGGCGCAUGUCGUCGUGGCGGCGGUGCUGGCCAUGGCGGCAGCGGCGGCGAUGGUGAGCGCGUCGCCGGCCGAGGGGGUCCAGCCGCUGUCCAAGAUCGCCAUCCACAAGGCCACCGUGGAACUGCACGGCUCCGCCUACGUGCGGGCGACGCCGGCGUUGCUCGGCGACCAGGGCGAAGACACCGUAUGGGUUACCGUGAAAUACGGCUGGGAGAACCCUUCCAGCGACGACUGGAUCGCCGUCUUCUCCCCUGCCGAUUUCAUCUCGGGGUCGUGCCCUAACCCGCGGAGGAACGCCGACGAGCCGGGACUCUGCACAGCGCCUAUCAAGUAUCAGUACGCCAACUACUCGGCCAACUAUCGCUACUGGGGCAAGGGCACCAUCCGGUUCCAGAUCAUCAACCAGCGCUCCGACUUCUCCUUCGCCCUCUUCACCGGCGGCUUCGAAAACCCGAAGCUGGUGGCGGUGUCGAAGCCGGUGGCGUUCAAGAACCCCAAGGCCCCGGUGUUCCCGCGGCUGGCGCAGGGGAAGACCCAUGACGAGAUGACGGUCACAUGGACCAGCGGCUACGACAUUGACGAGGCCUACCCGCUGGUAGAGUGGGGCAUGGUCGCCCCUGGCGGCGGGGUCAGGAACCCCACCCGCACGCCCGCCGGCACGCUGACCUUCAACCGUGGCAGCAUGUGUGGCGAGCCGGCGCGGACGGUUGGGUGGAGAGACCCUGGGUUCAUCCACACGGCCUUCAUGAGGGACCUAUGGCCCAACAAAGAGUACACUUACAAGAUCGGGCACGAGCUCUCCGACGGUACCAUGGUGUGGGGUAAGUCCUACACUUUCCGGGCGCCACCAACCCCUGGACAAAACUCACUGCAACGCAUCAUCAUCUUCGGUGACAUGGGAAAGGCGGAGAGGGAUGGAUCGAAUGAGUUCGCCAACUACCAGCCAGGUUCGCUGAACACGACCGACACGCUGGUCAAAGAUUUGGACAACUACGACAUCGUCUUCCAUAUUGGCGACAUGCCGUACGCCAACGGAUACCUCUCCCAGUGGGACCAGUUCACUGCACAAGUCGCCCCCAUCAGCGCCAGGAAGCCCUACAUGGUUGCGAGCGGUAACCACGAGAGGGACUGGCCCAACACUGGUGGAUUCUUCGACGUCAAGGACUCCGGCGGUGAGUGUGGUGUGCCGGCCGAGACCAUGUACUACUACCCAGCCGAAAACAGAGCAAACUUCUGGUACAAGGUGGACUAUGGGAUGUUCCGGUUCUGCGUGGUGGACACGGGGCACGACUGGCGGGAGGGGACUCCGCAGCACAAGUUCAUCGAGGAGUGCCUCUCCACGGUGGACCGGAAGCACCAGCCAUGGCUCAUCUUCGCGGCGCACCGGGUGCUGGGCUACUCCUCCAACGCGUGGUACGCCGCUGAGGGCUCCUUCGAGGAGCCUGAGGGCCGGGAGAGCCUGCAGAAGCUGUGGCAGCGGUACCGCGUCGACAUGGCCUUCUUCGGCCACGUCCACAACUACGAGCGCACAUGCCCGCUCUACCAGAGCCAGUGCGUCACCGGCGAGCGGAGCCACUACUCGGGCACCAUGAGCGGCACCAUUUUCGUCGUGGCAGGCGGCGGUGGCAGCCACCUCUCCAGCUACACCACGGCCAUCCCCAGGUGGAGCGUCUUCAGGGAUCAAGACUAUGGCUUCGUCAAGCUCACGGCCUUCAACCACUCGUCGCUUCUGUUCGAGUACAAGAAGAGCAGCGAUGGCAAUGUCUACGACUCCUUCACCAUCGAUAGGGACUACCGUGACGUGCUCAGCUGUGUGCAUGACAGCUGCUUGCCCACCACACUCGCUCUCUGA
rnacentral:rRNA from 1 species